CUUGAAGAAAAGUAGUUAAGGUCUUCAUAACUCAAAGAAUUUGGCGGUUGAUUUAAUUUUUAGAGGAACCUGUGUUUUAAUUGAUAAACCACGAUAGUUUAUACUUCUUAUUUAUUUGUAUAUCUCUAUGGGUAAUGAGUGUUUUAAAAGAAUUAAUUUUCUUUUAAAUUAUUUUGGUAUUUUAGGUCAAGGUGCAGUUUUUAAGUAGUUAAUAUGGGUUACAUUAUUAAUAAUUUUUUAAUAUAUUAUUCUUUAUGAUUAUUAAUUUUUGGAUUUGAAAGUAAUAAUAAUUAAUUAUUUUUUAUGAAUUUU
rnacentral:rRNA from 1 species